rnacentral:rRNA from 1 species
UACAGAGGUGGCAAGCGUUGUUCGGAAUUACUGGGCGUAAAGGGCGCGUAGGUGGCCUUCUUAGUCAGACGUGAAAUCCCCGGGCUUAACUCGGGAACUGCGUCUGAUACUGGAAGGCUGGAGUUCGGGAGAGGAAUGUGGAAUUCCAGGUGUAGCGGUGAAAUGCGUAGAUAUCAGGAGGAACACCGGUGGCGAAGGCGGCAUUCUGGACCGAAACUGACGCUGAGGCGCGAAAGCCAGGGGAGCAAGCGGG